rnacentral:rRNA from 1 species
UGUACACACCGCCCGUCACACCACGAGAGUUUGUAACACCCGAAGUCGGUGAGGUAACCGUAAGGAGCCAGCCGCCUAAGGUGGGAUAGAUGAUUGGGGUGAAGUCGUAACAAGGUAGCCGUAUCGGAAGGUGCGGCUGGAUCACCUCC